UACGGGGGGGGCAAGCGUUGUUCGGAAUUACUGGGCGUAAAGGGCGCGUAGGCGGCCUGCUAAGUCGGACGUGAAAUCCCCCGGCUCAACCGGGGAACUGCGUCCGAUACUGGUGGGCUCGAAUCCGGGAGAGGGAUGUGGAAUUCCAGGUGUAGCGGUGAAAUGCGUAGAUAUCUGGAGGAACACCAAUGGCGAAGGCAGCUCGCUGGGACGGUACUGACGCUGAGACGCGAAAGCGUGGGUAGCAAACGAGG
rnacentral:rRNA from 1 species